rnacentral:rRNA from 1 species
GUCGAACGAUUAAAGCCCCUUCGGGGGUGUAUAGAGUGGCGAACGGGUGAGUAACACGUGGGCAACCUGCCCUGCGCUUCGGGAUAACUCAGGGAAACCUGAGCUAAUACCGGAUACUCCUUGAGGAUCGCAUGGUCCUCUCGGGAAAGUUCCGGCGGCGCAGGAGGGGCCCGCGGCCCAUUAGCUUGUUGGGGAGGUAACGGCUCACCAAGGCGACGAUCUUUAGCUGGUCUGAGAGGAGGAUCAGCCACACUGGGUCUGAUACACAGCCCAGACUCCGGCGGGAGGCAGCUGUCGGGAAGAUUGGACAAUUGGCGCAAGCCUGAUCCAGCCAUGCCGCGUGAGUGAUGAAGGCCUUAGGGUUGUAAAGCUCUUUCAGUGGGGAAGAUAAUGACGGUACCCACAGAAGAAGCCCCGGCUAACUUCGUGCCAGCAGCCGCCGCGGUAA